rnacentral:rRNA from 1 species
GACGAACGCUGGCGGCGUGCUUAACACAUGCAAGUCGAACGGAAAGGCCUCUUUCGGGGGGUACUCGAGUGGCGAACGGGUGAGUAACACGUGAGUAACCUGCCCUUGACUUUGGGAUAACUUCAGGAAACUGGGGCUAAUACCGGAUAGGAGCUCCUGCUGCAUGGUGGGGGUUGGAAAGUUUCGGCGGUUGGGGAUGGACUCACGGCUUAUCAGCUUGUUGGUGGGGUAGUGGCUUACCAAGGCUUUGACGGGUAGCCGGCCUGAGAGGCUGACCGGCCACAUUGGGACUGAGAUACGGCCCAGACUCCUACGGGAGGCAGCAGUGGGGAAUAUUGCACAAUGGGUGGAAGCCUGAUGCAGCAACGCCGUGUGCGGGAUGACGGCCUUAGGGUUGUAAACCGCUUUCGCUCAUGACGAAGCUUUGUGUGACGGUAGUGGGUAAAGAAGCACCGGCUAACUACGUG